GGGAUGGAAGCCAAUGUGACCAUUCCAAUCUAGCAAAAUAAGCCUCAUGGGACAGCUCACACAGUGGUGAGUAGGAUUGGAACCAACCUUCCCCUGAAGCCAUGUCCCCGGGCAUCAUUUGAGGCCCUACCAAAUAUCUCUGACCUGUGUCUGAGGGAUGUGCCCACGGUUCCCACCCUGGCUGACAUCGCCUGGAUUGCUGCGGAUGAAGAGGAGACCUAUGCCCGGGUCAGGAGCGAUACACGACCCCUGAGGCAUACCUGGAAGCCCAGCCCUCUGAUUGUUAUGCAGCGCUUUGCAUCAGUGCCCAACCUGCGUGGGUCUGAGGAGAGACUCCUGGCUCUGAAGAAACCAGGUCUCCCAGCCCUGAGUCGCACGACAGAGCUGUAGGAUGAGCUGAGCCACCUGCUCAGUCAGAUUGCCAAGAUCAUGGCAGCUGAUGCAGCUUCGGCUUCAUUGACGCCAGAUUUCUUACCUCCAGGAAGUUCAAAUAUCUCUUCUCCCUUACCUUGUUUUGGAUACUCAUUCCACUCUACAACUUCCUUUGUCAUUAGUGACAUCAAGGAGGAGACUGAGGUAGAAGUCCCUGAGCUUCCAUCAGUCCCCCUGCUUUGUUCUGCCAGCCCUGAAUGUUGCAAAACAGAAAACAAAGCCACGUGCAGGUCGUCUGAAGAGGAUGACUGCAUCUCUGUCCAAGGCCAACAGCUUUGCAGACAUAAUGGGUAUCAUGAAGGAUUUUCACCGGAUGAAACAGAGCCAAGAUUUGAACCGGAGUUUAUUGAAGGAGGGAGACCCUGCCGUCCUUAUCUCUGAGGUCCUGAGGAGCAAGUUUGCCCUGAAGGAAGAAGACAUCACUAGAAAAGGACACUGAUAACCUCCAGCUCUGUGGACUCAGUUUCAUGCUCCUGAAAUCCCUUCAGUAGCUGCCUUCCUCACUGCAGAUGUUUCUGCCUCUCAGAAAUCUUCUGGAACAGUCUUGCCAACAAGCUAGAGCAUGGACUGAGAAAACAGGAGUUGGGUUGUUUCCUACACUUCAAACCUUAGCAGAAGCUAAGGUCUUAUUUUGAGCUGAUAUACUUAUUACAGGUAAUUAUGUAGCUUGGAGUGUCUCAGUUUAAAGGGUGAAAUAUAAGUGUCUGGUUC